UUUUCGUCAAUGGGCGCAAGCCUGAACGAGCGAUGCCGCGUGAGUGAAGAAGGCCUUCGGGUCGUAAAGCUCUGUUGCGGGGGAAGAAAGGCAUCUGCAGGAAAUGGUAGAUGACAGAUGGUGCCCCGCCAGAAAGUCACGGCUACCUACGUGCCAGCAGCCGCGGUAAUACGUAGGUGGUGAGCGUUAUCCGGAAUGAUUGGGCGUAAAGGGUGCGCAGGCGGUCCUGCAAGUCUGGAGUGAAACGUAUGAGCUCAACUCAUGCAUGGCUCUGGAAACUGGAGGACUGGAGAGCAGGAGAGGGCGGUGGAACUCCAUGUGUAGCGGUAAAAUGCGUAGAUAUAUGGAAGAACACCAGUGGCGAAGGCGGCCGCCUGGCCUGUUGCUGACGCUGAGGCACGAAAGCGUGGGGAGCAAAUAGG
rnacentral:rRNA from 1 species